GUAGGGAAUAUUGGGCAAUGGUCGGAAGACUGACCCAGCCAUGCCGCGUGCAGGAAGACGGCCCUCUGGGUUGUAAACUGCUUUUAUCUGGGAAGAAAAAGGCCAUGCGUGGCAAAUUGCCGGUACCAGAUGAAUAAGCACCGGCUAACUCCGUGCCAGCAGCCGCGGUAAUACGGAGGGUGCGAGCGUUGUCCGGAUUUAUUGGGUUUAAAGGGUGCGUAGGCGGCUGAGUAAGUCAGCGGUGAAAGACUUCGGCUUAACCGGAGCAGUGCCGUUGAUACUGGUUGGCGUGAGUGUCGGAGGGGUACAUGGAAUUGAUGGUGUAGCGGUGAAAUGCAUAGAUACCAUCAGGAACACCGAUAGCGAAGGCAUUGUACUGGCCGACAACUGACGCUGAUGCACGAAAGUGUGGGGAUCGAACAGGAUUAGAACCCCUUGUAGUCC
rnacentral:rRNA from 1 species